UUUCCAAAUAUGCAUCAAUGCAAUUUCUGGGCUAUUAUGGAUAACUCUUGGUUUCUUACCUUUAUUGUAGGCUGUAUUGUUGGUUAUUUGAUAGGCAAAAACCAUUAGAACAGACUCAAAACUCGCUUACUUUUUACAAGUUUCACAUCAACUGAUAUCUUUUGGCAAAAAUGGAUGUAGAUUGGGUAAUCACAUUUCUAGUUGGAUGUUUGGUGGGAUACAUGGUGGCCAGGAAUACCUAGAGGAAAAUCAAUGAAUAAAGGUCGACCAAGUACACCUGGAAAUUUAAGUUCUAGCAUAUUAUUGCCAGCCUGAACUACAAAAUUUCGACUGGAUUCCAGUAUUCGAGAAAUCAAGAGGACCAAGAAGAAUAAAUUAUUUCCGUAUUUCCCGAAACCAAAUUGAAGAAGCAACAUGACCCACAUCAUCUCCUUUGCCUUGGGCGUGAUCAUUGGAAUGAUGACCUGCCGGAGGUGCUAACUCAUCCCAUCUCUUACACUAAUAAUAUUCAAAGCUUAUCAAGAAAAAUGCAUGAAUAAACUUUAGCA